AUGGCUCAGAUUGAACGCUGGCGGCAUGCCUUACACAUGCAAGUCGAACGGCAGCACGGGGCAACCUGGUGGCGAGUGGCGAACGGGUGAGUAAUGCAUCGGAACGUGCCAUUGAGUGGGGGAUAACGUAGCGAAAGUUGCGCUAAUACCGCAUAUUCUGUGAGCAGGAAAGCAGGGGACCGCAAGGCCUUGCGCUCUUUGAGCGGCCGAUGUCAGAUUAGCUAGUUGGUGAGGUAACGGCUUACCAAGGCGACGAUCUGUAGCGGGUCUGAGAGGAUGAUCCGCCACACUGGAACUGAGACACGGUCCAGACUCCUACGGGAGGCAGCAGUGGGGAAUUUUGGACAAUGGGCGCAAGCCUGAUCCAGCCAUGCCGCGUGAGUGAAGAAGGCCUUCGGGUUGUAAAGCUCUUUCGGCCGGGAAGAAAUCGCAUGGGUUAAUACCCUGUGUGGAUGACGGUACCGGAAUAAGAAGCACCGGCUAACUACGUG
rnacentral:rRNA from 1 species